rnacentral:rRNA from 1 species
UACGGGGGGGUGCGAGCGUUGUCCGGAAUCACUGGGCGUAAAGGGCGCGUAGGUGGCGUGAUAAGGGUGUGGUGAAAGCCCGGGGCUCAACCCCGGGUCUGCCAUGCCGACUGUCAGGCUAGAGUACUGUAGGGGCAGGCGGAAUUCCGGGUGUAGCGGUGGAAUGCGUAGAGAUCCGGAGGAAGACCGGUGGCGAAGGCGGCCUGCUGGGCAGUUACUGACACUGAGGCGCGACAGCGUGGGGAGCAAACAGG